rnacentral:rRNA from 1 species
GACGAACGCUGGCGGCGUGCUUAACACAUGCAAGUCGAACGGAAAGGCCCUUCGGGGUACUCGAGUGGCGAACGGGUGAGUAACACUUGGGUGAUCUGCCCUGCACUUUGGGAUAAGCCUGGGAAACUGGGUCUAAUACCGAAUAGGACCAGGCGCUUCAUGGUGUGGGGUGGAAAGCUUUUGCGGUGUGGGAUGGGCCCGCGGCCUAUCAGCUUGUUGGUGGGGUAAUGGCCUACCAAGGCGACGACGGGUAGCCGGCCUGAGAGGGUGACCGGCCACACUGGGACUGAGAUACGGCCCAGACUCCUACGGGAGGCAGCAGUGGGGAAUAUUGCACAAUGGGCGCAAGCCUGAUGCAGCGACGCCGCGUGAGGGAUGACGGCCUUCGGGUUGUAAACCUCUUUCAGUAGGGACGAAGCGUAAGUGACGGUACCUAUAGAAGAAGCACCGGCCAACUACGUG